UGCUUAACACAUGCAAGUCGAGCGGAAAGGCCCUUCGGGGUACUCGAGCGGCGAACGGGUGAGUAACACGUGAGCAACCUGCCCCUGACUCUGGGAUAAGCCCGGGAAACUGGGUCUAAUACCGGAUACGACCGCCUCCGGCAUCGGGUGGUGGUGGAAAGUUUUUUCGGUUGGGGAUGGGCUCGCGGCCUAUCAGCUUGUUGGUGGGGUAGUGGCCUACCAAGGCGACGACGGGUAGCCGGCCUGAGAGGGCGACCGGCCACACUGGGACUGAGACACGGCCCAGACUCCUACGGGAGGCAGCAGUGGGGAAUAUUGCGCAAUGGGCGGAAGCCUGACGCAGCGACGCCGCGUGGGGGAUGACGGCCUUCGGGUUGUAAACCUCUUUCAGCAGGGACGAAGUUGACGUGUACCUGCAGAAGAAGCGCCGGCUAACUACGUGCCAGCAGCCGCGGUAAUACGUAGGGCGCAAGCGUUGUCCGGAAUUAUUGGGCGUAAAGAGCUCGUAGGUGGCUGGUCGCGUCUGCCGUGAAAGCCCGCAGCUUAACUGCGGGUCUGCGGUGGAUACGGGCCGGCUAGAGGUAGGUAGGGGCAAGUGGAAUUCCUGGUGUAGCGGUGAAAUGCGCAGAUAUCAGGAGGAACACCGGUGGCGAAGGCGGCUUGCUGGGCCUUACCUGACGCUGAGGAGCGAAAGCGUGGGGAGCGAACAGGAUUAGAUACCCUGGUAGUCCACGCUGUAAACGUUGGGCGCUA
rnacentral:rRNA from 1 species